rnacentral:rRNA from 1 species
GACGAACGCUGGCGGCGUGCUUAACACAUGCAAGUCGAACGGAAAGGCCCCUUUGGGGGUCCUCGAGUGGCGCACGGGGGAGUAACACGUGAGUAACCUGCCCUUGACUUCUGGAUAACUUCAGGACACUGGGGCUAAUACCGGAUAGGAAUCCUUGCUGCAUGGUGGGGGUUGGAAAGCUUCGGCGGUUUUGGAUGGACUCGCGGCUUUUCAGCUUGUUGGUGGGGAAGUGGCGUACCAAUGCUUUGACGGUGAGCCGGCCUGUGAGGGCGACCGGCCACAGUGGGACUGGGAUACGGCCCAGACUCCUACGGGAGGCAGCAGUGGAGAAUAGUGCACAAUAGGCGGAAGCCGUAUGCAGCAACGCCGCGUGCGGGAGGACGGCCGUCGGGUUAUAAACCGCAUUCAGCAGGGGCGAAGCUUGUGGUGACGGUACCUACAGAAGAAGCACCGGCUAACUACGUG